rnacentral:lncRNA from 1 species
UUAUAGAAUAGCAGGGGCACCGUCCCUGUCCAUUUCAAAAUCUCAUAAAACAAUUAGCUGGAAGGGUGGGUUUUAUUGGCUGCUUGUUGCUGACGCAUAAAUUUGUAUUAUCAAGCUCAAUAGCUCAAAGACACCAACAAAGAUGAAUUAUGUCACGUUGAAACUGGUCUCUGAAGAGUGAUAGGUGCUGCAUACGGGAGGUAUCCUCUACCCUAGUCC